rnacentral:lncRNA from 1 species
CCGAGCCGUAUGCUAUAUAAAAGAGAUGCCUGUACGGCUUUAAAUUGAAUUUCUUUUUUAUAUGCCCUCCAAGAUUAGGAAAAACUCCUAUUCUGUUAGACUCUCAGCUCAGGGUAAUGAUCCAUCAACUUGCUACUUCUUUGUAUGAGGGACAAGUAGGAGAAUGUAUGCUGGAAGCGGAGGAAUUACUGAAAAUGCGAAAAACUAUUACAAAUAUUUAUGCACAAAGAACAGGCAAAGCUUCCUGGCAGAUAUACAGAGACAUGGAGCGGGAUCUUUUUAUGUCAGCGGAAGAAGCUGAAGCCCACGGAAUUGUUGAUACGGUCGCAGCUUAAAUCCAAAAGGAGUUAACUAAUGUCAUUAUAUGACAAAUAAUGACAUUAGUUAAAUCCAAAAAAAACGAGUUAACUAAUGUCAUUAUAUGACAAAUAAUG